rnacentral:rRNA from 1 species
UACGUAGGUGGCAAGCGUUGUUCGGAAUUAUUGGGCGUAAAGGGCGCGUAGGCGGUUUGUUAAGUCAGCUGUGAAAGCCCGGGGCUCAACCCCGGAGGGUCAGCUGAUACUGGCAGACUAGAGUACAGAAGAGGUAACUGGAAUUCCCGGUGUAGCGGUGAAAUGCGUAGAUAUCGUCAAGAACACCGAUAGCGAAGGCAGCUUACUGGGCUGUAACUGACGCUGAGGCACGAAAGUGUGGGGAUCAAACAGG